UACAGAGGUCUCAAGCGUUUGUUCGGAUUCAUUGGGCGUAAAGGGUGCGUAGGUGGCGCCGUAAGUCAGGUGUGAAAUUUCGGAGCUUAACUCCGAAACUGCAUUUGAUACUGCGGUGCUUUGAGGACUGGAGAGGAGACUGGAAUUCACGGUGUAGCAGUGAAAUGCGUAGAUAUCGUGAGGAAGACCAGUGGCGAAGGCGGGUCUCUGGACAGUUCCUGACACUGAGGCACGAAGGCCAGGGGAGCAAACGGGG
rnacentral:rRNA from 1 species